rnacentral:lncRNA from 1 species
GUGGUUGUGUUUCAGCGUGGAUUGUUUCAGAUGGUGGAGGGUCAAAGGUGGUUGUGUUUGGUUCUUCUGUGGGUGAAGAGGUGACUUCUAGUUCAGGUGUGGGUUGUGUUGGUUGUUGUGAGGCCAGAGCACGUGUUUGGAGCUGAGCCAAAGUCGAAGAGGAAGGGUCAGAUGGUUCAGUAUCUGUGGAAAUGUUGUAGUAGGGGGUGAUUCUGGAGAAGAAAAUGAAGAGGGUGAGGUGGUUUCGUUCAACAUUUCUGCUUCUGAAACAGGUAAGGUUGUAGUGGCAAGGUUGAAUUU